rnacentral:rRNA from 1 species
CCUACGGGAGGCUGCAGUGAGGAAUAUUGGUCAAUGGACGAGAGUCUGAACCAGCCAAGUAGCGUGAAGGAUGACUGCCCUAUGGGUUGUAAACUUCUUUUAUAUGGGAAUAAAAUGUUCCACGUGUGGGAUUUUGUAUGUACCAUAUGAAUAAGGCUCGGCUAACUCCGUGCCAGCAGCCGCGGUAAUACGGAGGAUACGAGCGUUAUCCGGAUUUAUUGGGUUUAAAGGGAGCGUAGGUGGAUUGUUAAGUCAGUUGUGAAAGUUUGCGGCUCAACCGUAAAAUUGCAGUUGAAACUGGCAGUCUUGAGUACAGUAGAGGUGGGCGGAAUUCGUGGUGUAGCGGUGAAAUGCUUAGAUAUCACGAAGAACUCCGAUUGCGAAGGCAGUUCACUGGACUGCAACUGACACUGAGGCUCGAAAGUGUGGGUAUCAAACAGGAUUAGAUACCCGGGUAGUC